GAGUGCAUACUGCGAGAGCACAGCCAACAAAAAUGAUGCAGCCGAAGCACCCAGGGAAUGCAAGCCCUGUGCCUCCUCGUAGGUGCAGCCUAGCUGAGGCGAAAAGCCAGCCCCCCAAGGCUGCCCAGCUCAGGUUCAAACCUUGCCCAUUAGCCACCCAAAGAUUGCUGCAAUUAGCCCCGGUUUAAAAAAAAAAAAAAAAAAAAAAGUAAUUUCGAAAAAGAAGCGAUUUGCACCAAUUACAUAUUUUUUUCCCCAGGGAACGCAGCCUUGCUGCAGGGAGCACUUCUGCCUUUGGUAUCUCCGCAGAAAAGUUCGGAGCAGUAACUUCGCUCUCGCUGCAGAAGCCGUGCAAAAGCGCCUUUUGCGCACGGUAGGUUUUCGUUUUUAAGCGACCACUGCAGCAGCCCGGUUGCACGGAAAAAGCAACAAAACCCCCGCAAGCCGCCCUGCGCAGCGCGCCUAAGAAAGACCUCCAGCCUCGCUGAAGUCCGGGGCUUUCCUCCCCUUCGCGCCCGGCCGCGCAGCAGCCGCCCUGCCCAGUUCCUGGAACAGUUCACAUUCCUGCGUCCUUGUUGGCCGUUCUGUCUCACCACGUCUUCAAAUGCACAGGAGAUGAUUCUCCCUUGAUCCAGGGGGAAUCAGGGGUCCCUGAUCGAGGCCCCAAGUCAGGGGCCGCUCCAAGUGUGAUGAAGGGCAUCCCUGAUUUGUGACACUGACAGCAAGACAUGCUUGGUGAAGACCUGAAAGGAAAAGAGCCUGGCUGUUGAAUUGGGCCCUAAAUCCCAAUUAAUUUCUUUGAAGGAAAGUUAGCUGAAUGCAAAAAGUAUCAAGGAACAGAGAAACAUUCUACGGUCAUUAAAACCCAAAGGGAGAAGAUAACUUUUCGGAGGAGCAUCCUGCAAAUAAGCACUAGAACAGUUCAUUUUAAGUAAAUCUGAGUUCCGAUUGUGUAAUCAUGGAUCUGCUCACAUACACAUGCAUGCACCAAAAGAAACUGGAAGAGUUGCCGGGGGAAAGUAAUGAGACAGGUGUGCUUCUGGAGUGAUUCUCUCAGCACUGCCAUUCCAAUGGAGUUUGCAGUAGGGUCUCCGUUCAUAGGAGUUGCUACACGGGAGUUGAUCCUGUGGUCGUCUGUCAUGUCAUUAGGACUUGAUCCAGCUAGAUGUCUGAGAGGAGAUGGUAAGAAUUCCACAACAGGCCUCUGCACACCCACUUAGUUGCCACACAUCUAUAUAUCAUUGGUUUCUGGAAAACACACUCCUGUGGUGAAAAUGCCAUGCACCUAACGAGGUAGGCCAGCAGCUCUCUGACUGUCCAUCUGCUGGUCUACCAGAUUAAACAUUACCCCUUGUGUCUCCUUUCAAGCAAUGACUUUUCUCUGAACUAAAUAUGGUUCUCAAAGAAGAACAUUUGUCAUAUCUGCACCAGAUACACUACCAGACAAGUGGUAUAGAUGGGCAGGAUGGGAAUUUAAACAUAGGACUGGCAAAAAGUAUAACCUAUUAUUUUGGUUAUUUUUUUUAUGUGAUUGCUCUUCACUGGUAAAUGAAGCAAAAUGCAGAAUUACAGUAAGAUGAUUACACAAUGCUAGUGAGUGAGUCCUGUGUGCAUCUGCUAUGUGAAGGAACCUCGGCUGUUGGCUGAUAAAAUCUGUCCAAGAGACAAAUACUUCAUGGAGAAUUUCUUCCACAAUAAACCUUGCAGGUCCUUGUGUCUUUCA